CAAAUAUAUGUUGGAAUGGAACGGAAUUCAAAUGUGUAACAAUUUCACACAGGAUCAAAUGGACAUUUUCUGAAGAAAGAUAUGUUGCAGGCUGUUGCAUUCAGAAAACAACAAAUGUUGAAAAGCAUCAUACAAGGAGCCUCUCACAAAAGAACUUUAUUUGGCUGCAAAUCCAAAAGUUAGUGCAUCAGAUGGUGAAGUCUGCAUAAUCGGCACAAGAACUGGUAACAUAAACAAGAAGAUCGGG